rnacentral:rRNA from 1 species
AGGGCACCACCAGGAGUGGAGCCUGCGGCUUAAUUUGACUCAACACGGGAAAUCUCACCAGGCCCGGACACCGGAAGGAUUGACAGAUUGAGAGCUCUUUCUUGAUUCGGUGGGUGGUGGUGCAUGGCCGUUCUUAGUUGGUGGAGCGAUUUGUCUGGUUAAUUCCGAUAACGAACGAGACUCUGGCCUACUAAAUAGACGUUAGAUCCCUUUGUGGGCCUAUCGCAGCUUCUUAGAGGGACGGGCGGCGUUCAGCCGCACGAGAUUGAGCAAUAACAGGUCUGUGAUGCCCUUAGAUGUUCUGGGCUGCACGCGCGCUACACUGAAGGAAUCAGCGUGUGUUCCCUGCCCGAAAGGACAGGGAAACCCGUUGAACCUCCUUCGUGAUGGGGAUUGGGGAUUGCAAUUAUUCCCCAUGAACGAGGAAUUCCCAGUAGGCGCGAGUCAUAAGCUUGCGUCGAUUACGUCCCUGCCCUUUGUACACACCGCCCGUCGCUACUACCGAUCGAGUGAUUUAGU